rnacentral:rRNA from 1 species
CCCUUAGAUGUUCUGGGCUGCACGCGCGCUACACUGACGCACGCAACAGGUGCCUGCUCCGAGAGGACUGGGUAAUCAUUUGAGUGUGCGUCGUGAUGGGGAUAGAAUAUUGUAAUUAUUACUCUUCAACGAGGAAUUCCUAGUAAGCGCCAGUCAGCAGCUUGCGCUGAUUACGUCCCUGCCCUUUGUACACACCGCCCGUCGCUCCUACCGAUGGGUGAUCCGGUGAAUGAUUCGGACUUCAGCGGCUCCCCUGGGGUGCGCCGGAGAAAGUUUUGUGAACCUUAUCACUUGGAGGCAGGAGAAGUCGUAACA